GACACGACUCUCGGCAAUGGAUAUCUCGGCUCUCGCAUCGAUGAAGAGCGCAGCGAAAUGCGAUACGUGGUGCGAAUUGCAGAAUCCGCGAAC
rnacentral:rRNA from 1 species